rnacentral:rRNA from 1 species
UACGUAGGGUGCGAGCGUUAAUCGGAAUUACUGGGCGUAAAGCGUGCGCAGGCGGUUUUGUAAGUCUGACGUGAAAUCCCCGGGCUCAACCUGGGAAUUGCGUUGGAGACUGCAAGGCUAGAAUCUGGCAGAGGGGGGUAGAAUUCCACGUGUAGCAGUGAAAUGCGUAGAUAUGUGGAGGAACACCGAUGGCGAAGGCAGCCCCCUGGGUCAAGAUUGACGCUCAUGCACGAAAGCGUGGGGAGCAAACAGG